rnacentral:rRNA from 1 species
GAUGGACGCUGGCGGCGUGCCUAAUACAUGCAAGUCGAGCGAACGGACGAGAAGCUUGCUUCUCUGAUGUUAGCGGCGGACGGGUGAGUAACACGUGGAUAACCUACCUAUAAGACUGGGAUAACUUCGGGAAACCGUGGCUAAUACCGGAUAAUAUUUUGAACCGCAUGGUUCAAAAGUGAAAGACGGUCUUGCUGUCACUUAUAGAUGGAUCCGCGCUGCAUUAGCUAGUUGGUAAGGUAACGGCUUACCAAGGCAACGAUGCAUAGCCGACCUGAGAGGGUGAUCGGCCACACUGGAACUGAGACACGGUCCAGACUCCUACGGGAGGCAGCAGUAGGGAAUCUUCCGCAAUGGGCGAAAGCCUGACGGAGCAACGCCGCGUGAGUGAUGAAGGUCUUCGGAUCGUAAAACUCUGUUAUUAGGGAAGAACAUAUGUGUAAGUAACUGUGCACAUCUUGACGGUACCUAAUCAGAAAGCCACGGCUAACUACGUG